GUUACAAGUUGUUUGCAGCUUGUUUCAAACUUGUUACAACAAACUGGGAACAAGCAGUGCAAACACAACUUGUUGAUAUCUUGUUCGCAGACUUGUAACAACUUGUUCGCAGACUUGUAACAACUUGUUCGCAGACUUGUAACAACUUGUGCGUUUUUACAUGUGUACACACACAAAAAUCUCACAUUUUGUAACAAGUCUGCUAACAAGCUGUCAACAAGAUGUAUUUGCACUGCUUGUCACAAGUUGUCAACAGGUUUGGAACAAGUCUUGUUGACAACUUGUAAC